CAGAAACUCCAUCCUGUAUUUGAUAAACUUUCCUCUCAAAACCAAUACAUGUACAAGGAACUAGAGCUGCAAAGACAGGGAGGGAGGAUGCCUGUGGCUCACAUCCUUUCCAGUUCCCCCUCACUGGUACGAGUUUUCAGAAUGAUGGCGUGGAUUUAUUCGAAGGAAACAGUGUGGAAACAGACCUGGAUGCAUGUGACAGAGCUGGAGGGAUCCCAGUAUAAUUAAUGCAUAGUGAAACAACUUACCUCGACACGAAGAUUGCAGCUGUGAAACAGAACAUUUGAAAGCUGCAGAAGCGUUUGGGACGAGGAUCUUCUGAUUGAAUUGAUGUAUUUAUUGGUUUGCUAGUGUAUGUAGUGUUUUAUCAAGAAAGUGACGUUAACUACGCUGCCCCCAUUGCGUUACGAGCUGUGACGCCACGGAGCAGGCUGAGGAGCUGCGUGAGGCUGCGUGCCGAUGCGGGAAGCCCGGCUUCAGCGCCUGCGAGCGAUGCUGCGGUGCCUGAUCACAUCUGCAUUUCCUCUCUGGCAGAAUCCACACGUUUUAGCGUGAAAGCCUGCUUUUUAACUGCUGUCCCAUUUCCUAUGUAUUCUUUCUUCAUGUUCUUCUAAAUUGUUUCUCAGUUGCUGUAUACAGAAUAAACUGCAAUAACAAGGUGUAAUUCUAGAUCUAACUAGGCCAGAAUUGCUACAGGGUCAUUUGCAGUCGAGGAGCUCUCUGUCUCCCACUGACUGUAGCUGGCAUGACUGAGGCAUAAGCCUGGACGCUCGCCUCGGAUCCGCAGAUGCCAGCACUGGUGAUCCCCAGGAAAUGGUAAUCCAGCUUUCGAAGCUUGUCUAUUGGCCUUGUCCCUGGUGAAACCAGCACUGUAGGGCCAAACCUCUUUCUUCACCAUUCUCUAACUAUUUUGGCAUAAGUUUUGCUACAGGUCAAAAUCUGAUGGUCUAGGCCGAUGACUAUCUCAUGCAUAUCAGGGUAUCACCAAAAACUUGCUUUUUUUGUCUCAAAAAGCAGUGCUAGCGCUCAAUAUCAAGAGGCACUGGAAACUGAAGCAUUUGGGGACUGCAGUUAACCCUGGAUCCACAACAUUGAGGGCAAUUAACAUCACUAUAAAAUGUUAG